GCGUCCGUAGCUCAGUUGGUUAGAGCACCACCUUGACAUGGUGGGGGUCGGUGGUUCGAGUCCACUACGGACGCACCA
rnacentral:tRNA from 2 species